CCGACAGUUGCCAAGAUGGUGUGUCUAUUCAACUGCAUGGCGCAUACGGUGCCAAGAGAGGACGAGGAGCUUCUGCUAGUGGAGUCGACGUCGCGCAAGUUAGACAAUGCCCUGUCGAACGAGAUACACGCUGCCUCUUACGGAAAAGCUGCAGCUCGCGAAGCCAGCGUUUCGCUGGUCGAUGAAACGCCUCGACACGUCUACGAGCACAAUUAUCGCCUGCACCGUCACGGCUUCACAUCGCGAUACGACGUCUCUUGCGCUAGCGAUGACUCAUCGGAGUUGACAGCUCCUUCGAAAAGGCAGCAGGAAGAUGCCCACUGGAUGAGCCAUGGUUAAGUGCCAACGCUACACUACUUCUCUCAUGUGAGCGUGCGCGUGGCAAACAAGCGCAGCCUGUCGGCGUACCUGAGCACCUCGUGCAGGCUCGGCACUCGCACGUUGCGACUCUUCAAUCCAUGGGCCGGCAAACUGCUCUUUCCCUCAUCGCGCUGUUCGAGCGGCAGGUAGACGUCAAGUGUCUGGCCAAAUGGAUUUCAGGCGACAUCGUGGAGUUGUUUUACAAAAGCGACAACAACGCCGAGGAAGAAAUCCGCAGUGGAGUACGGCAGGCGCCUCGCUUGGUGAGAGCGACGAUCGUCAACGGCAGGUGCGUGACGCGGCGAGCACACAUAACGGCCUAGGAGGACGGUUUCGGCGAGAGAGAGAUACGGUGACCGCAGCGGAUGCGGAGUUGAAGCGAGCCGGCAUUUCUCGGAUGCCUCGCCUUUCGGCUUCUUGUCUCUCUUCUUGCCUUCUCCUUGAUCUAUAGCUCCACCGGAAAGAGGCAUGAUAGAUUUGGAAGAUGAGAACGUUAGGAGCUCUGAUGACAGGAGGCCACCUCGGCGUGUGGUAUCUCAGGAUCCAGUGCCCUCACUCUAUGUGUGCGGAGGCCAAGCAGCACCCCCCUAUCCCUGGCAAAAUGCCGAACCACCUCCGGUGGUGACAAGGUCAUGCACCUACGACGUAGGGGUGUGUGAGAGCGAUGCAUCGCUGCUGCUGCCGGCGGUGAUGCCCUUUAUAGCGUUGUUUCAGGGCGACCUGCGUCCUUGAAGACGCUUGUGCCAUCCACAUGAUGUGCAGGGUGUUGGCGUGAUCCGAACGUAUCCCAACCCGGCGACGGCGAGGGGUGCACCAGGUGACGGAAGGCGCAAUGGGAUGAACUGUGAGGCGGCCUGCGAGGCGGGGUGUGGGCAGAGUUCGAGCCGCAGGCCACAAAACACCAGACACGAACACUUCAUUCUAAGACAUAUGUAUAGUUGCUAAGCCGCUGCGGGCGGAUGCUCGGUGACGAUAUGGUGCAACAGGUAGACGACGUUAUCUUCUCUCAUGAUAUUCUGCCUCCCUCUUUCCCAUUUUCACAAUACCACAUCCCUACACGAGUUCACAUACUGUUUCGGUUGCUCUGACACGGCUGCAAAACUGCUGCGCCAG
rnacentral:misc_RNA from 1 species